AUGAUGAGAAACACAGACAGACACAAAGACUCAGAGCCACAAAAAAAUGUUGGUCACUGCAGCACAAACCUCUCUAUCCUCUCUCUAAACCUCUCUAUCUCUAUCCAUCUGUGUGUCUUUCUAUCCAUCUGUGUGUGUGUCUGUCUUUCUGUCUGUCUGUCUCUUUAUCUGUCCCUCUCUCUAUCUAUCUAUCUGUCUGUCUAUCCGUCUGUGUGUCUGUCUAUCUACCCAUCUCUCUCUCUCUCUGUCUGUCUGUCUGUCUGUCUUUUUCUGUCUGUCUGUCUCUCCGUCUAUCGAUCUGUUUAUCCGUCUUUCUCUGUCUAUCUACACAUCUCUCUGUCUGUCUGUCUGUCUAUCCAUCUGUCCGUCUGUCUGUCUAACAAUCUUUCUGUAUGUCUAUCUACCCAUCUCUCUCUCUGUCUGUCUAUCCAUCUGUCCGUCUGUGUGUGUGUCUGUCUAUCCAUCUGUGUGUCUGUCUGUCUUUCUGUCUGUCAAUCUAUCAUCUGUCUAUCUAUCUGUCUGUCGUUCUGUCUGUCUGUCUGUCUGUUUGUCGUUCUGUCUAUCUUUCUUUCUGUCUAUCUGCCUUUCUCUCUCUGUCUGUCUGUCUUUCAAUCUAUCAUCUGUCUCUCUAUCUGUCUGUCUCUCUGUCUGUCUGUCUGUCUCUGUCUCUGUCUCUGUCUGUCUGUCUUUUUCUGUCUGUCUGUCGUUGUGUCUAUCUGUCUUUGUCUGUCUAUCUGUCUGUCUGUCUGUAUGUCUGUCAAUCUAUCAUCUGGCUAUCUAUCUGUCUGUCAUUCUGUCGUUCUGUCUCUCUGUCUUUCUGUCUUUUUCUUUCUCUCUGUCGUUCUGUCCGCCUGUCUUUCUAUCAUCUCUCUAUCUAUCUGUCUGUUGUUCUGUCUGUCUGUCUAUCUUUCUUUCUGUCUAUCUGCCUUUCUCUCUCUGUCUGUCUAUCUAUCAUCUGUCUAUUUAUCUGUCUGUCGUUCUGACUGUCUGUCUGUCUGUCGUUCUGUCUGCCUGUCUUUCCAUCAUCUGUCUAUCUAUAUGUCUGUCGUUCUGUCUGUGUGUCUUUCUGUCUCUCUGUCUUUCUGUCUGUCUUUCUGUCUAUCCAUCUGUCCGUCUGUCUGUCUACCAAUCUUUCUGUAUGUCUAUCUCCCCCUCUCUCUCUCUGUCUGUCUUUCUGUCUAUCCAUCUGUCUGUCGUUCUGACUGUCUGUCUGUCUGUCUAUCUAUCUGUCGUUCUGUCUCUCUGUCUUUGUCUGUCUAUCUGUCUGUCGUUCUCUCUAUCUGUCUUUUUCUGUGUGUCUGUCGUUCUGUCUGUCUCUUUGUCUGUCUGUCUGUGUGUCUAUCUAUCUGUCUUUCUUUCUGUCCGUCUGUCUGUCUAUCAAUCUAUCAUCUGUCUAUCUAUCUGUCUGUCGUUCUGUGUGUCGUUUUGUCUGUCUGUCUGUCUGUCUAUCUAUCUGUCUGUCAUUCUGUCGUUCUGUCUAUCUGUCUUUCUGUCUGUCUGUCUGUCGUUCUGUCUAUCUGUCUUUGUCUGUCUGUCUGUCUGUCUGUCUGUCUAUCCAUCUGUCUGUCGUUCUGUCUGCCUGUCUAUCUAUCUGUCUGUCUGUCUGUCUGUCUAUCUAUCUAUCUAUCUAUCUAUCUAUCUAUCUAUCUAUCUAUCUAUCUAUCUAUCUAUCUAUCUGUAUAUCUAUCCGACUGUCUGACUGACUCUCUAUCCAUCUAUCUGUCCAUGCAUCCA
ensembl:lncRNA